ACAAUGGAGAGUUUGAUCUUGGCUCAGGAUGAACGCUAGCGGCAGGCCUAAUACAUGCAAGUCGAACGGUGGUAGCAAUACCAUAGUGGCGCACGGGUGCGUAACGCGUAGCCAACCUACCCGAAUCUGGGGGAUAGCCCGCCGAAAGGCGGAUUAAUA
rnacentral:rRNA from 1 species